rnacentral:lncRNA from 1 species
GUAUUAAUUACGUUGUGUUGUUGAGGAAAUAUUAAGCUUCUCAAUGAUCAAAAUAAGUGUUUGUCAAACUGCUAUAUAACCAGUGUAAUUUUUCUGAUAAAACGGUUUGUUCAAAUUUUUUGAAAUUUUUAUAUUUUUGUAAAAGGGUCAAAGUAAAUACUUUGUCAAAAUUUUAAGAAAAUUAAACGAGCCAAAUUAAUUUUAGUUAAAGUGUUGGGUACCACCUUAA